rnacentral:rRNA from 1 species
AACGUAGGUGGCAAGCGUUAUCCGGAAUUACUGGGCGUAAAGGGUGUGCAGGCGGGGGUGCAAGUGGGGUGUGAAAUAUCCCAGCUUAACUGGGAGGGGUUAUGCCAGACUGCAACUCUAGAGGACGAGAGAGGGGGGUGGAAUUCCGGGUGUAGUGGUGAAAUGCGUAGAGAUCCGGAGGAACCCCAGAGGCGAAGGCGGCCCCCUGGCUCGUACCUGACGCUCAGCCACGAAAGCAUGGGGAGCGAACGGG